UUAAUGCUUUUUAUUUUUUUAAAGAAAGCUAAUUUGAUGUAGAAUAAGAAUAAAAGAAGUGCCAACAUGAAAGCCCGUGCUCACUCACAGUUUAAUAGCACCCUUCAAAGCCUGGUGUAUAUUCUUUCCCCUCCUUUCAGUAUCUAGUUUGUUCUGAAUAUUUGGAGAGAGGUCCAGGAGGCAAACCUGUCUCUUGUAGCUAAGUGUCUGCUCAGAGAAGAAAUCAUUAGCAUUCACUAAACCUUAUCCAACCAAAUGCAUUUACUUGGCAGCUAAACAUCAAUGAUUAGGCCUAUGGAGAUCUUCGCUUUUAUUUCCUGUGAGGACUAGUCAAGAGCCCUUCCCUUAUUGUCCUACUGUCCUUUAGGUAACAGAGGUGUUGGGGGACUGUGGAAGCUUGGCUUCCCUUUUCUUUCCUUUGUGCCUCUUGCUUCUCCCUCACUUCUCUCUCCCCUCCUUGACCCAUUACCACAUCUUAGCUAAUGCAGAAUUCUCUUCCCUUCUACACUAUGAAUUUUCUUAUAGAAUUUCUACUGACAUAAACUGUUAAGCUAAAGCUUGCUGUGAAGUUCUGCUCCUGCAGAGAACUUUACUACGGGAAGACAACUAACCUUUUGCAUCUUAGGAGGUCCUGGGGCUUAAUUGCAUUACAGAGUCAGACAACCGUAAAUACCCAACUAUACAUCAGCAGCAUCAAAUUAUUUUCUAUAUGAAAUGAUGGAACCCAUUGUGAAUACAGCAAACCCAGUGCCCUUUGUGUGGUGAGUAUUCAGUGAACAGUUGGCAUUUUCAUUUAUCCACAUUCUCUCUAAUGUAAAGGAAAAAUAAAAGGUUGCUAUCAAGAUAGUCCUUCCUGUGCUAUAUACAUAAUUUAGGUAGUGCUGUUUAUAAGUUCUCUAGCAAUGUUAUAUGUGUUAUAGAUCAUUACAUCACCACAAUAUUCUUAACUAAAACUGGUAGUAAGGUUUCAGUAACGUUGUUGUUCAGAAAUCUACAUCUGUAUUAGUAAUAAUUAUAUUUGCUUGUUAAAAAAAUAUAAAACAUUGUAGCUGGAGAGAUGGCAGAAUAGGGAAAAGAGUUUGCUCCUGAGACCACCUGAGUUUUAUUCUAGAAUCCAUACGAUGAAAGUUGAAAACCAAUUCAGGCAGGUUGCCCAGUGACCAGCAUAUGACUACCAUGACACACAUGUACAUACCUGAGCAUGUGUACACUGCACACACAUACAC
rnacentral:lncRNA from 1 species